rnacentral:lncRNA from 1 species
AAUGUCUCCUAGAUUGCCUUCUCUCAGAUCCACUUGCACACAAACCUUCCAGGGCUCCGGGUCCUGAUUUGAGCGCUGGAAGGGAAAUGCGCCACUCCAAUUCUCCAGCUGCCUCCUCGCUGCUGUUGAGCUUCGGAGCACAGUAUUUAAAUCCUGUUAAAUAACCUGUUUUCAUGGGCAAUCACAGCCAGGUGUCUUAAAACUGGAGAGCAUCACAGAAUGCCAGACACCAGACACUCACCACACGCAGUGGGUGCUAUUUCUGCACCAGGCUCCAGAGAGUGCGUUCCUGGGUGCUGACGCUCCUACAGCUGCCUCCUCUGCAACAGCCUCUCCCCUGUACAGAUUCCUCACCACAUCCAGCCAAAUUGCCUUCAUCUCAGCAGAGGCUGUAGAAGGCAGAUGGCCAGGAGACUGGGGCCGUCAAUGCACUGGGUACAGCAGUGAUCCUCCGGGAUUUUCAACACCUCAGGUCCUAGUGGCCUGGGAUGAUCUGACCCCAGACACCCUCCCCAGAUGCAAGUCCAUCCCCAAUGCACAGGAAGGAAUACAUCUUUGGGUUGACUAAAACAUCAUACUGG